AACGAACGCUGGCGGCAGGCUUAACACAUGCAAGUCGAACGCCCCGCAAGGGGAGUGGCAGACGGGUGAGUAACGCGUGGGAACGUACCCUUCGCUUCGGAAUAGCCCCGGGAAACUGGGUGUAAUACCGGAUACGCCGUAUUGGGAAAGAUUUAUCGGCGAAGGAUCGGCCCGCGUUGGAUUAGCUAGUUGGUGGGGUAAUGGCCUACCAAGGCGACGAUCCAUAGCUGGUCUGAGAGGACGAUCAGCCACACUGGGACUGAGACACGGCCCAGACUCCAACGGGAGGCAGCAGUGGGGAAUCUUGGACAAUGGGGGCAACCCUGAUCCAGCCAUGCCGCGUGAGUGAAGAAGGCCUUAGGGUUGUAAAACUCUUUCGCCGGUGAAGAUAAUGACGGUAACCGGAGAAGAAGCCCCGGCUAACUUCGUGCCAGCAGCCGCAGUAA
rnacentral:rRNA from 1 species